GCGUUGUCCGGAAUCAUUGGGCGUAAGGCGCGCGUAGGCGGCCCGGUAAGUCCGUUGUGAAAGUCAAAGGCUCAACCUUUGAAUGCUGAUGGAUACUGUCGGGCUAGAGUACGGAAGAGGCGAGUGGAAUUCCUGGUGUAGCGGUGGAAUGCGCAGAUAUCAGGAGGAACACCAAUAGCGAAGGCAGCUCGCUGGGACGUUACUGACGCUAAGGCGCGAAAGCGUG
rnacentral:rRNA from 1 species